GUCCAAGUAAUUUAACCAAAAUACUGGCCUUGUAAGCCAGCUAUGAAGGUAAAACCCUUCCUAGGACC
rfam:Sarcophilus harrisii ctg7180002190299, whole genome shotgun sequence.